GAUGAACGCUAGCUACAGGCUUAACACAUGCAAGUCGAGGGGAAACGACAUCGAAAGCUUGCUUUUGAUGGGCGUCGACCGGCGCACGGGUGAGUAACGCGUAUCCAACCUGCCCACCACUUGGGGAUAACCUUGCGAAAGUAAGACUAAUACCCGAUGAUAUCCCUAGAAGACAUCUGAAAGGGAUUAAAGAUUUAUCGGUGAUGGAUGGGGAUGCGUCUGAUUAGCUUGUUGGCGGGGUAACGGCCCACCAAGGCAACGAUCAGUAGGGGUUCUGAGAGGAAGGUCCCCCACAUUGGAACUGAGACACGGUCCAAACUCCUACGGGAGGCAGCAGUGAGGAAUAUUGGUCAAUGGGCGAGAGCCUGAACCAGCCAAGUAGCGUGCAGGAUGACGGCCCUAUGGGUUGUAAACUGCUUUUAUAAGGGAAUAAAGUGAGCCUCGUGAGGCUUUUUGCAUGUACCUUAUGAAUAAGGACCGGCUAAUUCCGUG
rnacentral:rRNA from 1 species